rnacentral:misc_RNA from 1 species
AAGUCGUAACAAGGUUUCCGUAGGUGAACCUGCGGAAGGAUCAUUAACACGUAUCCACGUAUUAUAACAACAUAUCAACAUUUACAACGAACUGUGCUCCCUGUUGACCCAAUCUCGUAGCUGUCUGAUUCAGGCUCUAAUGGCUCUAUCCGUUUUUUGCUGGCAACAGUAAGGGGCGGUGUGAGAUGUCUGGUUAGACUAUCACUCCUCUGAGAGUGUGGCUAUGUAAACGGGACUUCAACAGGCUUACUAACUCUAACUGCCCGUGGCGCUCAGCUCCAAUCCCAACCAUUUUGGGCGGCAGGAAGGACCCCAUAACCAUUUUCACCAUAUGUUACCCUAUUUGGCUAAUACUUUUCCACGAUUGUAACAUGCAAUCGUCGAAUUAAGAUUUAUCUUAACUAAGCACAACUCUUAGCAAUGGAUAUCUUGGUUCUC